AGCUCUGGGAGAGGAGCCCCAGCCCUGACAUUCAAAGGUGUCCCCAUUCUGUGAUCAGGACUGAACACAGAGACUCACCAUGGAGUCUUGGCUGAGCUGGGUUUUCCUUGUUGCUCUGUUACAAGGUGUCCAGUGUGAGGUGCAGCUGGUGGAGUCUGGGGGAGGCUUGGUCCAGCCUGGGGGGUCCCUGAGGCUCUCCUGUGCAGCCUCCGGAUUCACCUUCAGCAGCUAUGCCAUGAGCUGGGUCCGCCAGGCUCCAGGGAAGGGGCUGGAGUGGGUUGCUUUUAUUAGAACCAAGGCUUAUGGUGGCACAGCAGAAUAUGCCGCAUCUGUGAAAGGCAGAUUCACCAUCUCACGAGAUGAUUCCAAAAGCACCGCAUAUCUGCAAAUGAACAGUCUGCGAGCUGAGGACACAGCCUUGUACUACUGUGCGAGAGACACAGUGAGAGGACUUCAGUGUGAGCCCAGACAUAAACCUCCUGUGGGGCCCAUGUGGGUCACCAGGGGGCGACCAGGACCCACUUAGCACAGAGCCGCCCAGUG